rnacentral:rRNA from 1 species
GAUGAACGCUGGCGGCGUGCCUAAUACAUGCAAGUCGAGCGAACGGACGAGAAGCUUGCUUCUCUGAUGUUAGCGGCGGACGGGUGAGUAACACGUGUAUAACCUACCUAUAAGACUGGGAUAACUUCGGGAAACCGGAGCUAAUACCGGAUAAUAUUUUGAACCGCAUGGUUCAAAAGUGAAAGACGGUCUUGCUGUCACUUAUAGAUGGAUCCGCGCUGCAUUAGCUAGUUGGUAAGGUAACGGCUUACCAAGGCAACGAUGCAUAGCCGACCUGAGAGGGUGAUCGGCCACACUGGAACUGAGACACGGUCCAGACUCCUACGGGAGGCAGCAGUAGGGAAUCUUCCGCAAUGGGCGAAAGCCUGACGGAGCAACGCCGCGUGAGUGAUGAAGGUCUUCGGAUCGUAAAACUCUGUUAUUAGGGAAGAACAUCUGUGUAAGUAAAUGUGCACAUCUUGACGGUACCUAAUCAGAAAGCAACGGCUAACUACGUG